CUAGCCGCAACAUGCGCUGCUUCGCCUGCCCCCUUCCCCAUCAACAACACCAAACGUCCUGAUCGAAAGAGUUCCAUUCUUUGUCCGCCACCACCACCGCCACUACCACUCCCUCCUGUGCUUCCUUCGCUAGCAGAAGCAUGGCGAUCUACCCUUCCGACGUCAAGGUGUGACCCAAGAAGCCCGUCAGCCUCAGCUCUCUUAGUCGCAGCUGCAGCACUCCACUUCUUGACUACAUGAAGGCACACCUAAAGACGCUCGGCAUCGCAUUCACCUACAUUCACGCUCCGGGAAAGAUGCACGCCAACCUGUCCGCCACGCUCCCUGCAUCGAACGACGCGAGUCAACCCGGUGUUGUGAUGUGUGGCCGCAUGGACAUUGUGCCGGUGGAUGGGCGUAAGUGGGACACGAGCCCGUUCGUUGCGACAGAGAAGAAUGGCAAGCUGUAAGGUCGCCGUAUGUGUGGCAUGAAGGAAUUUCUUGGCCUGUGGACGACUCUACCAUUUGCCUUUACGAACUCGGAGUCUAAGAAGUUGGCGCGCUUCGUCUUUUCAUACGGCGAAGGGGUCGGCUGCGUGGACGCUCCAGUCAUUAUGGCGCAGCUCAAACUUCAGAGCCUCGAGGCGGAUGGCUGCCUCGUCGGUAACGGCGGCUUUCACGCAGACCGGGUGAGGGGGCAGCAAGGGAUUCAGCGCGUGGAACGUGAAGGUACAUGACAACGCGAUCCGCUCGGCGAUGGGGCUGAUAGAGGCGAGCUGCAACUUCACUGCUUCAGCCAUGCGAAUCAUCACCGAAGUCCGUGAGAUCGGGCUUGAGCGGGGCAGGCGCAGCCCGCACGCCUUCGAAUAUCAGCGCCCCUUCUACUCCUUGUCCGUGUGCCUCAUCAAGGGCAGAAAUGCCGUGCCUGCGGUGUUUGGACUCGACUUCAGCAUGCGCGUGUGUGUGUUACGCAAACGGCAGCGGCAAAGCAUGUGGAGAGUGCGGUGAAAACGUACAUCGACAGCGCGAUUCUGUGUGCGGUGCGCGCGGAGUGCGCGGGGAGGUGUCUGCAGAGAUCAACUCGAUGGGGUCCGUGCCAGCCUUCGACUCCCCUGAGGAGACAGCGCUCAUCCACGCUGUGCGCGAGACCCGCGAUAACCACACCGUGCGUGGGUUCGCUAGUGGCGCGGAGUGGCAUCGUCCUCCAAGCGCUGGGCAUGCCUAUCAUCAUUGUUGCCUCCGGCGGCUACUGUGGCCACAUGGCGAGCGCGUGCACAGAGGUGGUGUUCCUGAAGAAGCGCGAGAAGCUCACGGAGGAGCUGGUGCAGCGUGCUGCGAUGGGGAAGGGGAUGGCUGCCCCUGUAAAGCAUCUAGUGUGGGCUCUUUUCUUUUCUGCUUCAGCGUAGUACGGGAUGCACAAGAAUGUGCCUGUGUGUGUGUGUGUGCUCGCAGAGUUGCACGGCUCAAGGGCCUGGAAUAGCCUGCCGGUGCUGAGUACCCCAGGAUGAACGUCAUAAACUCCCGCUAGUUCUCUUGAGUGCCGUUGUCCGCUAGAGGGUGGCGAAAGGCGUCCAGCCGCCUGUUUCUUCUGUAUGUGAACACCUCUGUGAUCGACGGGCGACUCAGCCACGCCUCUCUACCUUUCCUUAUCAUCAUUCCGUCAGUGCUACUUGCGUGCACAUGUAUGCCGCAUCUGCCACCGUGUAGUGUAGGGCAACGGGCUGCACGGCGAGCGAGACGGCCCUCUUGCCGCGGCCGCUGUGGCUCCUUGGGCCCCGUCGUUACG
rnacentral:misc_RNA from 1 species